GACGUAGGGCGCGAGCGUUGUCCGGAUUUAUUGGGCGUAAAGAGCUCGUAGGCGGCUUGUUGCGUCGACCGUGAAAACCCGGGGCUCAACUUCGGGCUUGCGGUCGAUACGGGCGGGCUAGAGUUCGGUAGGGGAGACUGGAAUUCCUGGUGUAGCGGUGAAAUGCGCAGAUAUCAGGAGGAACACCGGUGGCGAAGGCGGGUCUCUGGGCCGAUGACUGACGCUGAGGAGCGAAAGCGUGGGGAGCGAACAGG
rnacentral:rRNA from 1 species